AGUAAUGCGUGACCGACCUGCCCUGUACUGCGGAAUAGCUCCUGGAAACGGGUGGUAAUGCCGCAUGCUCCGCACUGCUGCAUGGUGGUGCGGGAAAGGUUUUUCCGGUAUGGGAUGGGGUCGCGUCCUAUCAGCUUGACGGCGGGGUGAUGGCCCACCGUGGCUUUGACGGGUAGCCGGCCUGAGAGGGCGACCGGCCACAUUG
rnacentral:rRNA from 1 species